AGAACGAACGCUGGCGGCAUGCCUAAUACAUGCAAGUCGAACGAACACUUCGGUGUUAGCGGCGCACGGGUGCGUAACGCGUGGGAAUCUGCCCUUGGGUUCGGAAUAACAGUUGGAAACGACUGCUAAUACCGGAUGAUGACGAAAGUCCAAAGAUUUAUCGCCCAGGGAUGAGCCCGCGUAGGAUUAGCUAGUGGUGAGGUAAAGCUCACCAAGGCGACGAUCCUUAGCUGGUCUGAGAGGAUGAUCAGCCACACUGGGACUGGGACACGGCCCAGACUCCUACGGGAGGCAGCAGUAGGGAAUAGUUGGACAAGUGGGCGCGAAGCCUGAUCCAGCAAGUCGCCG
rnacentral:rRNA from 1 species